CUUUUGAUUAUAAUUUAAGGUCUAACCUGCUCAAUGAUAUAUUAUUAAAUAGCCGCGGUAAUUUGACCGUGCAAAGGUNGCAUAAUCAUUAGUUUUUUAAUUGANNGCUUGAAUGAAAGGUUGAAUGAAAAAAUAACUGUCUCUAUUAAAAUUAAUUAAAAAUUUAUUUUUAAGUAAAAAAGCUUAAAUAAAAAUAGAAGACGAGAAGACCCUAUAGAGUUUUAUAUUUUUAAAAUACAAUAAUUUUUAGUAUUUUUAUUNNUAUAUUUUAAAUUUAUUUAAUUGGGGUGAUUUUUAAAUUAAAUUAACUUUUUUUAAUUUUAACCAAUAAUUUUUGACUUUAUGAUCCUUNUUUAAAGAUUAAUAAAUAAAAUUACCUUAGGGAUAACAGCGUUAUUUUUUUUUAGAGUUCAAAUCGAAAAAAAAGAUUGCGACCUCGAUGUUGGAUUAAAAUUAAAUUUUGAUGCAGAAGUCAAA
rnacentral:rRNA from 1 species